UACAUGGGGGUGCAAAACGUUGCUCGGAAUUAUUGGGGCGUAAAGCGCACGUAGGCGGCCUCGCAAGUCUGAUGUGAAAUCCCUCGGCUCAACCGAGGACGUGCAUCGGAAACUGCGGGGCUUGAGUACUGAAGAGGAUCGCGGAAUUCCCAGUGUAGCGGUGAAAUGCGUAGAUAUCGGGAGGAACACCAGUGGCGAAGGCGACUACCUGGCCUGUUCUUGACGCUGAGGCGCGAAAGCUAGGGGAGCAAACGGG
rnacentral:rRNA from 1 species